rnacentral:snoRNA from 1 species
UGUAUAUGAUGAAAAUCUAUAUUUCAGUUCUGCUUCUGAGUAAGAUGAAGAUACCCCAAUACCAAAGUUACAUUCACUGAACA